rnacentral:pre_miRNA from 1 species
ACGGCAAAGUUGCGGUGAUGUGUAUGAUUGUCAAGUCAUAUCACAGCCUGCUUUGACGAGC